GCAUUUUAUGCUCUGUAAUUGGAAUGAUGGGAAUGUAAAACCCUUCCAGAGUAACAAUUGGAGGGCAAGUCUGGUGCCAGCAGCCGCGGUAAUUCCAGCUCCAAUAGUGUAUAUUAGAGUUGUUGCAGUUAAAAAGCUCGUAGUUGGAUUUCUGCUGUGGUCAUCCGGUACCGCCCGUAUGGGUGCGCACCUGGUUUGGCUGCGGCUUUCUUCCUGUAGCCGUCCGCGCUUAAUUGCGUGCGUUGUGUUACGGAACUUUUACUUUGAGAAAAAUAGAGUGUUUCAAGCAGGCUUGUCGCCCUGAAUACUUCAGCAUGGAAUAAUAGGAUAGGACCUUGGUUCUAUUUUGUUGGUUUCUAGGACCAAGGUAAUGAUUAAUAGGGACAGUUGGGGGCAUUCGUAUUUAACUGUCAGAGGUGAAAUUCUUAGAUUUGUUAAAGACGAACUACUGCGAAAGCAUUUGCCAAGGAUGUUUUCAUUAAUCAAGAACGACAGUAGGGGGUUUGAAGACGAUUAGAUACCGUCGUAAUCUCUACCAUAAACUAUGCCGACUAGAGAUAGGGAAACGCCUACCUUGGCUUCUCCU
rnacentral:rRNA from 1 species